UUGAACGCUGGCGGCAUGCCUAACACAUGCAAGUCGAACGCGAAAGGGGGCAACCCCCGAGUAGAGUGGCGGACGGGUGAGUAAUACGUAGGAAUCUGCCCAAUAGUGGGGGACAACUUAGGGAAACUUAAGCUAAUACCGCAUACGCACUACGGUGGAAAGCAGGGGAUCGCAAGACCUUGCGCUAAAUGGAGGAGCCUACGUCUGAUUAGCUAGUUGGUAGGGUAACGGCCUACCAAGGCGACGAUCAGUAGCUG
rnacentral:rRNA from 1 species